rnacentral:rRNA from 1 species
UUCUUACGAAGAGUUUGAUCCUGGCUCAGGAUGAACGCUGGCGGCGUGCCUAAUACAUGCAAGUCGAACGAGGAGCCUCACAUCUUCGGAUGAG